rnacentral:lncRNA from 1 species
AUCACGACCCUUUCAUGUGAAAUCUUUAGUGUUGUGAGUCCUUAAAAGAGACAGAAAUCGUGCAUUCGGGGAGCUCGGAUUUUAAGACAGUAGCUUGCCGACGUUCCCAGCUGAAUAAAGCCCUUCCUUCCACAACUCAGUGUCUGAGAGGUUUUGUCUGCAGCUCGUCUUGCUACAAUACCACAAUCUACUCUAUCAGCUGUCCAUCAAGAAUUCAAUGACUACUUAUUGCAUCCCAAGAGUUGAUGUUCCAGUCAUGUCAUCUGGGGAGAGAACUCUGAUGAAAUUCCGGAAGUCCGUUGUGCUGUGCGUUCUCUUGUCCCUAAUUCAUCUCUUCAUCAGCCUCUGCCAGUGAGAUCUCUGGAUAACUGUGCCUUAGAGCUACGGUUGCCUGUGGGAAACAGAAAAGGGUUAUCAUUAAAGGAGCAUCUGUUAGAGGGGUGUUCUUGUUCUGUUUUUGUUUUCUCAGCUUCUCUAUUUGGUGUCCAUUCAUCACAAGGCAAAUUAUAUUAACUAUGUGUUCUUAUUUUCUGUAUUCUUUAUGAUCUGGCAUUUGGGAACAUCAGACCCACUAUAGACGCAGGGAGAGACUGCCCCUUCCAGGGUUAGCUAAUUGUUAAAUACAGCAACUUGUGUAAAAGCAUGCCUUUCAUAUGCAAGCCAACCACUCUCUUUAUCUCACCCUCACACACCAAGCCAAUAUUCUUCUGCUCUAAAUCAUCCCAAGCCUAGGUAUCAGACAACUAGGGACAGCCUCUAUCCCCCGAAGCCCACCAGAAUUACUGAAUCUAACCAAUCCUAACCCAUGCACCUUGUCCUGUCCUGCCUUUUCCACAGGAAUCCCAAUACAGACUCCGACUAAGGCUUCCCUUUUACUCUUAUCUUCUGUCUCUGGACCAUCUUGUGUCCCUGUGAGGUCUGACAUGUACCCUUCGUUUGUGAAAUGUAAGCAAUAAGUUCUUCUCUUAAUGGAAUUCGCCUCUUCAUGUUGUCACUCAGUCAUACUUCUAUAAAUUAAAACCUGGGU